AUCUCCUACAGGUCCAGUGUGUCGAUGACCCUACUGGUCUGACUGGAGUCGUGGUGGAUGGAGAGAGAACAUAUCCAUUACCUGAUCCUCUGAUUGGGAACAAUCAGCAGAAUCAUGUGGACAACUCACCCAACGUGGGAGGAGUGUUGGAGCAGCAGAGACCCUUAGAGGAGAUUCUUCACCAGGGAGAACACUCCCAUAGUGACACCACCAACAGGGGACCCCAGACCAGAUGGAGUCUGACUCAUCUAUUGAUGGUUGCU